GUGAGAGCCUUUUUAUAUGCAAGCGUGAAUCUUGUUGACGGCGAAUUUAAAAAAGAAGAUGACAGAUGAUUACGGCUGCGAAAGAGGGAUAAAUGAGUCGAAUCCUGUCGUGGGUACCUACAAAAAGAACGACAAUCGUAUACAUUGGAGACUUGUGCUUCAAAAAAAUGUUUACCUGAUACAAAGCAUGGUGAAUUUUCGAUUUAUUUUGAGCACAGGAGAAAAACCAGUGGGAAUGGAAGGUGGUUGGUCAGUAUCCUUAAAGUGCGUGAUGUCAGAUCAUAAUUAUGAUGAUCGUGCACUUUGGGAGAUAAACUGAAUGAAUAGAAAGUAUUACCCAAUAGAAAUUGUAGAAUUUUAUAUAUUAAUACCCUUGGUAGGAACAGAACUUUUAGUUACGUCAUAAAAACCAUAUCCUCACGAUUUUACCCAAAUACUAGACGUGGAAGCACUACGAUUGCAUUUGAAUUAAAAAACCACUUGAAACGCUGAAA